rnacentral:rRNA from 1 species
CGAUCCAUAGCUGGUCUGAGAGGAUGACCAGCCACAUUGGGACUGAGACACGGCCCAAACUCCUACGGGAGGCAGCAGUGGGGAAUAUUGGACAAUGGGCGCAAGCCUGAUCCAGCCAUGCCGCGUGAGUGAUGAAGGUCUUAGGGUUGUAAAGCUCUUUUGUCCGGGACGAUAAUGACGGUACCGGAAGAAUAAGCCCCGGCUAACUUCGUGCCAGCAGCCGCGGUAAUACAAGGGGGCUAGCGUUGCUCGGAAUCACUGGGCGUAAAGGGCGCGUAGGCGGCCAUUCAAGUCGGAGUACGUGGAGGCAAGGCAACACAGGGGAUUAGGANGCNCAGCNCGAUCAGAGCUGUUGNGAGAUGAUCAGCCACACUGGGACUGAGCACGGCCCAGACUCCGCGGGAGCAGCAGUGGGGUAAUAUUGGACAAUGGGCNCAAGCCUGACUCCAGCCAUGCCGNGUGAGUGAUGAAGGCCUUAGGGGUNAAAGUCUCGUUUUGACGGACG